AAUGAACGUUGGCGGCGUGGAUUAGGCAUGCAAGUCGCGCGACAAGCCCCUUCGGGGGUGGAGGAGCGGCGCAAGGGAGAGUAACGCGUGGAUCACCUACCCCUGGGUCUGGGAUAGCUGUGGGAAACUACAGGUAAUACCAGAUAAUGUCUCUGGACCAAAGGUGUGAUUCCGCCUGGGGAUGAAUCCGCGUCCUAUUAGCUUGUUGGUGGGGUAAUGGCCCACCAAGGCGAAGAUGGGUACCGGGUGUGAGAGCAUGGCCCGGCUCACUGGGACUGAGACACUGCCCAGACACCUACGGGUGGCUGCAGUCGAGAAUCUUCGGCAAUGGGCGCAAGCCUGACCGAGCGACGCCGCGUGCGGGAUGAAGGCCCUCGGGUUGUAAACCGCUGUCAGAGGGGAACAAAUCCGUGGGGGUUCUCCCCUACGGUUGAGUGAUCCUCAGAGGAAGUACGGGCUAAGUUCGUG
rnacentral:rRNA from 1 species